UACAGAGGAGCCAAGCGUUGUCCGGAUUGACUGGGCGUAAAGCGCACGCAGGCGGACGCGCGCGUGGGGUGUGAAAUCUGGCCGCUUAACGGCCAGGCGCCAUCCCAUACGGCGGGUCUGGAGUGAUGCAGAGGGCGGUGGAAUUGCCGGUGUAGUGGUGAAAUUCGUAGAUAUCGAGAGGAACACCGGUGGCGAAGGCGGCCUUCUGGACAGUGACUGACGCUGAGACGCGAAAGCGUGGGGAGCAAACAGG
rnacentral:rRNA from 1 species